rnacentral:rRNA from 1 species
GAGGUCUCAAGCGUUGUUCGGAUUCAUUGGGCGUAAAGGGUGCGUAGGCGGCGCGGUAAGUCGGGUGUGAAAUCUUGGAGCUUAACUCCGAAACUGCAUUCGAUACUGCCGUGCUUGAGGACUGGAGAGGAGACUGGAAUUUACGGUGUAGCGGUGAAAUGCGUAGAUAUCGUAAGGAAGACCAGUGGCGAAGGCGGGUCUCUGGACAGUUCCUGACGCUGAGGCACGAAGGCCAGGGGAGCAAACGGGAUUAGAUACCCCGGUAGUCCUGGCAGUAAACGGUGCACGUUUGGUGUGGGAGGAUUCGACCCCUUCUGCGCCGGAGCUAACGCGUUAAACGUGCCGCCUGGGGAGUACGGUCGCAAGAUUAAACUUCAAAGAAAUUGACGGGGGCCCGCACAAGCGGUGGAGUAUGUGGCUCAAUUCGAUGCAACGCGAAGAACCUUACCUGGCCUUGACAUGCAUCUCUAAGCGCGUGAAAGCGCGUGAGUCCCGAAAGGGACAAUUUGCACAGGUGCUGCAUGGCUGUCGUCAGCUCGUGUCGUGAGAUGUUGGGUUAAGUCCCGCAACGAGCGCAACCCCUGUGAACUGUUGCCACCGAGCCGUGAGGCUCGAGCACUCUGUUCAGACUGCCCCGCUCUAACGGGGAGGAAGGUGGGGACGACGUCAAGUCAGUAUGGCCCUUACGGCCAGGGCUGCACACGUACUACAAUGCCCAGUACAGAAGGAUCCUAGACCGCGAGGUGGAGGAAAUCACUAAAACUGG